UUAUUGUAAACAUGAUUUAAAAAUAUUUGAUAUUAUUUUAUUUGAUUUUAAAUGUAUAGUAAACUGUGAGUUGUAUAUGUUUUGUUGAUAUUAUCUAUAUUGUUUAAUGUUUAAGAUUAUACACUUGUAGUUUGAUUGUUAAUUUAAGAGUUUCACCUGUAGUAUACCAUCUUGUAUUAAUAUCGAUCUAAACAUUCAAUUAUAGGAUUUCCAACUUGUAUUAAAAAUUGAAUCACAUCUAAUAUGUUAUUAAUUAUUGUAGUAUAUAAGAUUAUAAAUUUUCAAUAUAAAAUGUAUGAAAUUGAAUAUAAAUAUUUCUAAUUAUGACCCGUUACUCAGUAGAAAGUUUUCUUAAAUCUAUUUUUUAUCCGUUAUAAUAUUUUUUUAUGUAUUGAACAAUUUAUAUUUGUUUUUAAAAAUUCAAAUUAUGGCAUAUGGGAAAAAACUCUAAUUAUUUUUUUAUAAUGAUGAUAUUAUUUUUUCGCAAAAAUAGAAUCAUAUAAAGAUGAGAAGUGAACUAUAAUAAUUAAUAAAAAAUUAAUA
rnacentral:sRNA from 1 species